UUUAUCUGAUUUAUUAGCGUGUUCAAUCUGAUCUUCAAGGUAUUUUGAAUCCUGAUUUUUGAUUUUUGGAAGUGACCUUGGUGUUAUGCUAAUUGUAGGCAGCGCUUUGAAGAGGAUUUGAUGACUUCCACCAGGUUUUGUAAGGAUUUGCUAUUUUGUACGGUCGUGUUUGGCGGAAGUUCUUGAAGACAGGCAAAGCAGCAAUAUUGCAUUGUAACCACACUAUGACACCCUUUGUAAAUAUCAAUAUCCUUUGACAUGUCUGUAAGGAUGCCACUAAAUACUAUUCAACUACUAAUUUGAGGAUUGAUGCCAGAUGUAAUUUAUGAAUUCAAAUAUCAACUAAUAAAUGUAAUCAAAGUGAUUAUAUUUAACGAAAUUCCAUUUCCUGUUUGUACUUACACAAAUAAGGUACUCAAAAUUAUAGUUUAAGCGAUAAAUUGUUUUAUUGAAUAUUUGGAAAGCGAUACAAUAUAUUUUAACAUUAUUGAAUGCAUAGUAGUGACACCUUUUUAUAAAGUAAUAACUGUAAGUAUGUGUUUAAACAUAAGUAGAGUUUUGUAUUAG